rnacentral:rRNA from 1 species
CAAUAGCGUAUAUUAAAGUUGUUGCAGUUAAAAAGCUCGUAGUUGGAUUUGUGGUUCGUCCCGCCGGCUGGGUCAUUGACUUUUGCUGUGCUGGUCGUCCAUCCUUGGGUGGAAUCUGUGUGGCAUUAGGUUGUCGCGCAGGGGAUGCCCAUCGUUUACUGUGAAAAAAUUAGAGUGUUCAAAGCAGGCUUAUGCCGUUGAAUAUAUUAGCAUGGAAUAAUGAUAUAGGACCUUGGUACUAUUUUGUUGGUUUGCGCACUGAGGUAAUGAUUAAUAGGGACAGUUGGAGGUAUUCGUAUUCCAUUGUAAGAGGUGAAAUUCUUGGAUUUUUGGAAGACGAACUACUGCGAAAGCAUUUACCAAGGAUGUUUUCAUUAA